UACAGAGGGUGCAAGCGUUGUUCGGAAUUAUUGGGCGUAAAGCGCGUGUAGGCGGCUUUGCAAGUCGGGUGUGAAAGCCCUCAGCUCAACUGAGGAAGUGCGCCCGAAACUGCAGAGCUUGAGUGCCGGAGAGGGUGGCGGAAUUCCCCAAGUAGAGGUGAAAUUCGUAGAUAUGGGGAGGAACACCGGUGGCGAAGGCGGCAUCCUGGACCGACAUUGACGCUGAGGCGCGAAAGCCAGGGGAGCAAACGGG
rnacentral:rRNA from 1 species